rnacentral:rRNA from 1 species
GAUGAACGCUGGCGGCGUGCCUAAUACAUGCAAGUCGAGCGAACGGACGAGAAGCUUGCUUCUCUGAUGUUAGCGGCGGACGGGUGAGUAACACGUGGAUAACCUACCUAUAAGACUGGGAUAACUUCGGGAAACCGGAGCUAAUACCGGAUAAUAUUUUGAACCGCAUGGUUCAAAAGUGAAAGACGGUCUUGCUGUCACUUAUAGAUGGAUCCGCGCUGCAUUAGCUAGUUGGUAAGGUAACGGCUUACCAAGGCAACGAUGCAUAGCCGACCUGAGAGGGUGAUCGGCCACACUGGAACUGAGACACGGUCCAGACUCCUACGGGAGGCAGCAGUAGGGAAUCUUCCGCAAUGGGCGAAAGCCUGACGGAGCAACGCCGCGUGAGUGAUGAAGGUCUUCGGAUCGUAAAACUCUGUUAUUAGGGAAGAACAUAUGUGUAAGUACUGUGCACAUCUUGACGGUACCUAAUCAGAAGGCCACGGCUAACUACGUG